rnacentral:misc_RNA from 1 species
UUCACCCCCUCAAUUUCCAGUUUUAAAAAACCUAAAAACCUGCAUUUUCCAUAAGACAGAUAUCCAAGACACAUUUCUAUGUCACCAGUAACUUAUUUUUAUCAGUUUCUUCCUGUGCAUUCUAAAUGCAGAGGUCAAAUGAUAAUAAAUGCUUAUUACUUUUCCAUUCUCAAAAGCAAAAUCCUCACAGUAUGCCAAUAUGGAGAAUGUCGUAUCCUCUUUGUAAUUAUUUCCUGUUUCCUAUUGAACCAAAUCUUCUUGUAUCAUUCAAAAUUAAAAUUCUAACACCAAAUAUAUUUAAG